rnacentral:tRNA from 1 species
GGGCCGGUAGCUCAGGCUGGAUAGAGCACUUCACUCCUAAUGAAGGGGUCGUGAGUUCAAAUCUCACCCGGCUCGC